GACGAACGCUGGCGGCGUGCUUAACACAUGCAAGUCGAACGGAAAGGCCCUGCUUUUGUGGGGUGCUCGAGUGGCGAACGGGUGAGUAACACGUGAGUAACCUGCCCUUGACUUUGGGAUAACUUCAGGAAACUGGGGCUAAUACCGGAUAGGAGCUCCUGCUGCAUGGUGGGGGUUGGAAAGUUUCGGCGGUUGGGGAUGGACUCGCGGCUUAUCAGCUUGUUGGUGGGGUAGUGGCUUACCAAGGCUUUGACGGGUAGCCGGCCUGAGAGGGUGACCGGCCACAUUGGGACUGAGAUACGGCCGAGACUCCUAAGGGAGGCAGCAGUGGGGAAUAUUGCACAAUGGGCGGAAGCCUGAUGCAGCAACGCCGCGUGCGGGAUGACGGCCUUCGGGUUGUAAACCGCUUUCGCCUGUGACGAAGCGUGAGUGACGGUAAUGGGUAAAGAAGCACCGGCUAACUACGUG
rnacentral:rRNA from 1 species